rnacentral:rRNA from 2 species
AGGCAGCAGUGGGGAAUAUUGGACAAUGGGCGAAAGCCUGAUCCAGCAAUGCCGCGUGAGUGAUGAAGGCCUUAGGGUUGUAAAGCUCUUUUACCAGGGAUGAUAAUGACAGUACCUGGAGAAUAAGCUCCGGCUAACUCCGUGCCAGCAGCCGCGGUAAUACGGAGGGAGCUAGCGUUGUUCGGAAUUACUGGGCGUAAAGCGUACGUAGGCGGUUAUUCAAGUCAGAGGUGAAAGCCUGGAGCUCAACUCCAGAACUGCCUUUGAAACUAGAUAGCUAGAAUCUUGGAGAGGUGAGUGGAAUUCCGAGUGUAGAGGUGAAAUUCGUAGAUAUUCGGAAGAACACCAGUGGCGAAGGCGACUCACUGGACAAGUAUUGACGCUGAGGUACGAAAGCGUGGGGAGCAAACAGGAUUAGAUACCCUGGUAGUCCACGCCGUAAACGAUGAUAACUAGCUGUUCGGGCUCUACGAGCUUGAGUGGCGCAGCUAACGCAUUAAGUUANCCGCCUGGGGAGUACGGUCGCAAGAUUAAAACUC